CGGUCACGUUACUAACUUAACUCUUUAAUUAUUUUUAUAAUUAUUUUCCUUCGCUCUCCCAUUUAAAUUCUCUAAUUCCUCGUAUAGGACCACUGACGUGACGUCAUACCUCGGUGAUGGAACAUACUCCACCUAUCGAGAAUUAUUUCGCGUUCGGUGAGUUUGACGUCGUACUCUUGGAAGGAGAGACGAAUGUUCAUCACUUGACCUGUGGCUGUAGGUGAAGUUGGUUGCUACCAUAGAAUAUUAGAAUGGCGGUUGGUUUUUUAUUUUAUAACAUCAGUGAAAAGAAAAAAAAUUACCACAAAUGGUUUUCUACAGUAGGGUGGCAUGUGGGUAGAACAACCCCUCUUGGAAUCGGAAUAGAAAUCACCGCCAUUUUGGAGUAACCACAUGGUGAACUCAUAGCCCUUUGACACCUAGGGAAACCACUACAGCCACAGUCAAGUCACCUUGGGAAUAUGUCUAAUUGGGAGCAAGCUAUGGGAGCGUUCCAGCUCAAUUUUCGUCUUGGCACCUGGGCCUACAGGAGCCAUGGGGUCGCACCAUCCUGGUGCAUCAUUUUCUAGGAGGCAACCGCAACCUCGUUUGGGAACAUUUAGUGAGGUGUUUUAGUAACUAUUGGUUUUUUUUAUAUUUCAGACUAUCUGUUAAAUACACUAUGUUUUUUUUCAGAUUUAGGUUACCUCUGGUUUUUUUUGACAUAUUUGUAUAUUAGAUUAUUUGGUUCCCAAACUUUGUAUCUACGGUAACUUCUUGUGCACAGGAAUAAGCCUAGAGAAAAUUAGGUUUUUAAUACUUUAUUAUUGCUUUGAUAUUGGUUUAUGUAAUUCGGGUAAAUUUAUUUUGUAAUAUUACUAGCUUGUUUCCCAAAUAUUUUACUGUUAUUCGCUUUAUUCCGUUUGUUCGGUUAAUUUAGGUCAUCGUCGGUAUUUAUCUCAACUUCAUUUCUACUUUAUUCAUUGUAUAUCUAACUUUGCUUAAUUCAUUUAGUAUUUUCCCUUAGUUAGGCUCAUGCCUAUUUACAUAAAUAUAUUUAUUUAUAUUACUUUUAAUAUUCAUCGGUUUUCCUUUAGUUGUACGUAGCGGGCGUACUAUAACCAUUUGGUAGAAGACUUAUGUAAUUUUGUACCCUAUAUGUAAGUAAGAGGUACUAAUACCUGUAAUUUUGUAACAGAUAACAUUAUUGUUGUUAUCUUAGAUAUAACCUCUGUAUAACUUUUGUCAUGUUAGAGUCACAGCAUAAUAUGAACUUGCUUAACUCAGAGAUUGUUAAAAAUCUGGUAGUUAUUUUUAAUAAAUAUUUACUUAUUUUGUA